GACGAAGGGGGCUAGCGUUGUUCGGAAUUACUGGGCGCAAAGCGCGUGUAGGCGGUUAUCCAAGUCGGGUGUGAAAGCCUUGAGCUCAACUCAAGAAAUGCAUUCGGUACUGGGUGACUAGAGGACCGGAGAGGAUAGUGGAAUUCCCAGUGUAGUGGUGAAAUACGUAGAGAUUGGGAAGAACACCAGUGGCGAAGGCGGCUAUCUGGACGGUUUCUGACGCUAAGACGCGAAAGCGUGGGGAGCAAACAGG
rnacentral:rRNA from 1 species